rnacentral:rRNA from 1 species
CCUACGGGAGGCAGCAGUGAGGAAUAUUGGUCAAUGGACGAGAGUCUGAACCAGCCAAGUAGCGUGAAGGAUGACUGCCCUAUGGGUUGUAAACUUCUUUUAUAAAGGAAUAAAACGAGGCACGUGUGCCUUUUUGCAUGUACUUUAUGAAUAAGGAUCGGCUAACUCCGUGCCAGCAGCCGCGGUAAUACGGAGGAUCCGAGCGUUAUCCGGAUUUAUUGGGUUUAAAGGGAGCGUAGAUGGGUUGUUAAGUCAGUUGUGAAAGUUUGCGGCUCAACCGUAAAAUUGCAAUUGAUACUGGCAGUCUUGAGUACAGUUGAGGUAGGCGGAAUUCGUGGUGUAGCGGUGGAAUGCGUAGAUAUCACGAAGAACCCCGAUUGCGAAGGCAGCUUACUAAACUGUGACUGACAUUGAUGCUCGAAAGUGUGGGUAUCAAACAGGAUUAGAUACCCCAGUAGUC